CUUUUCCUAAAAUUUUAAAGUCAAAAAAAUUUUUUUAAAAUGCUGUCAUAGAAAAAAACCGUAAAUGUGGGCUUGAAAUGUAAAUAAAAAGUUCAAUUUAUUCGAGUAGUGUAAUCACAUCACCACCAAUGCCUCUGACUGUAGUAUGUACCAUAAGGAAGGAGAAAAUACAGAGAAGUGCAAUAGAAUAUAAAUGUAUGUAUGUACUUGUGUCACUUAUUUUUUAUUUAUGCGCCACAGACAUAUACAAUUAUCUCGACAAUGUAACUAAAACUCCAACUCGACAGCGCCAGAGUCAAUGCUUAGAUACAGAGAUUCGGAAAAGGGCGAAAUGUCCUGGCUACGCCCCAGACUGGAAUUCCAGAAAAACUCGUUGUAAUUUUCCCUUUAAAGUAGGAGGAGAACCAGGAGCCGCACAAACUUAGAAGCGAGGACUCGAAAACGUCAAGGCUCUGUUGUAAAUUUACAACACCUACACAACAAUACAAUUCAUUUGCGGUUUUUCAGUUUGACUAGCACUCAAUGCCAAACACUGAUGAUGUAUGAAUUCGAAAUACCCGUGGCAAGGGAAACUGUCGCACAGGGGCAAAGAUAGGUAGGAUAUGAUAGGAUUUUAAGGUGGGAUAACGUAAUAGAUUGCCCCAACAAAAUAAUAUCUUUCACUCUCACUGGUACUAAGUUUGGGCUCGUUCACUCGUUAGUGUUAAAGAUGCAACAAUGAGCUAAAAAUUACAUUGUGUUUUCC
rnacentral:lncRNA from 1 species